rnacentral:rRNA from 1 species
AGAGUUGAUCCUGGCUUAGGAUGAACGCUGGCGGCGUGCCUAACACAUGCAAGUCGAGCGGAGAUAUUGAGGGAUUCUUUAGAUGACCUCCUAUCUUAGCGGCGGAUGGGUGAGUAACACGUGGGUAACCUGCCCUGCACAGGGGGAUAACAGCUGGAAACGGCUGUUAAUACCGCAUAUGCACACGCUGCCGCAUGGCAGAGGGUGGAAAAGAUUUAUCGGUGCAGGAUGGGCCCGCGUCGGAUUAACUAGUUGGCAGGGUAACGGCCCUACCAAGGUUAUGAUCCGUAGCCGACCUGAGAGGGUGACCGGCCACAUUGGGACUGAGACACGGCCCAAACUCCUACGGGAGGCAGCAGGUGGGGGAUAUUGCACAAUGGGCGAAAGCCCUGAUGCAGCGACGCCGCGUGAAGGAAGAAGUAUUUCGGUAUGUAAACUUCUAUCAGCGGGGAAGAAGAUGACGGUACCCGACUAAGAAGCCCCGGCUAACUACGUGCCAGCCGCCGC